rnacentral:rRNA from 1 species
AUUGAACGCUGGCGGCAUGCCUUACACAUGCAAGUCGAACGGCAGCACGGGAGCAAUCCUGGUGGCGAGUGGCGAACGGGUGAGUAAUAUAUCGGAACGUGCCCAGGAGUGGGGGAUAGCCCGGCGAAAGCCGGAUUAAUACCGCAUACGACCUGAGGGUGAAAGCGGGGGAUCGCAAGACCUCGCGCUAUUGGAGCGGCUGAUAUCAGAUUAGCUAGUUGGUGGGGUAAAGGCCUACCAAGGCGACGAUCUGUAGCUGGUCUGAGAGGACGACCAGCCACACUGGGACUGAGACACGGCCCAGACUCCUACGGGAGGCAGCAGUGGGGAAUUUUGGACAAUGGGCGCAAGCCUGAUCCAGCCAUGCCGCGUGCGGGAAGAAGGCCUUCGGGUUGUAAACCGCUUUUGUCAGGGAAGAAACGGCUCUUGCUAAUAUCGAGAGCUAAUGACGGUACCUGAAGAAUAAGCACCGGCUAACUACGUGCCAGCAGCCGCCGUAAUAC